AUGGAAUCUUUCUUGAUUCCGGAUACGCCUUUGGUUGGUAAAGUGACGCUCAAAUCCCAAACCAACGACUCCUCGUCCUCGAAAGAAUGCACUGUCUCCCACCCUACCACCUCGUGAGAAGACUCCUUCGUCUCUGUAAUGCUACUCAACUUGAAGAUUCGGAACGGGCUUCUUUUGUGAGUGCCUGUUGUCACGCAUUGGAUCAUCACAACAUCCCCAGACGUGGUUAGUCUCAUUCCCAUCUUAUGAUUAGGAAACUCGGUAACAAACGGUCGAUGGGAGUAUGGAUGAUUGUCGAUUUGUCUAGGCAAGUCUCCAAGAGAAAAGUCCAAGAUUCUUAUGCUACCAUUGGAAGUAAGUAUGUAAAGCUUUUCGUCUUUGUAGGCCAUAUCCAAACACCGGAAUAGCUUCCCACAAGUGCUUGCCGGAAUCUCAAACCACUCUUGCCCUCUUUUACUGCAAUAAUAUAUGUAGGGACUCGGAACAAAUGCCUCUUUGUACGACCACACAACUAAGUAGUCUUUGGUUUUUUCGUCUACCCACAAAACCGAAUUCCCCACUAUUGCACGGCUUGUUCUGUGGCGAUCGUCGAAGAGUAGGUGGAAUACAUAGUUACCGGGUCGCUCGAACUUUGUGCCGGUGUUUGAAUAUUCAAGAGGUGGGAGACGAAUGAGCUGUGGCGUGAAGGGAUUAAUGAUGUAGAAAUUGAUUUCCUUGUCAAAGACCAAGACCCAACUCCCACAAGACGCCACGCCACGACACUCGGCAAAGCGACCUAGGUAUACUGUUCUGUAAAACUUUUCUUCAUCGGAAUUAAACAUGAGCCAGUGCGUGUCUUGGUAGAGAAUCAACCACGGAGUAUGAUUUUUUCUAGGUGAGGAUGAUUUGGAAGCAAAGUACCACGACGAACAAACGGUCUUAGCUCGAGCAAAAUCUGUAAAGCUCAAGUGCUUGAAAACCAAUGAUAAGAUGUCUGUGACAAGCUCCGACCAAUUCGGAGUACCAUCAUCAUCUGUUGCCAUCGCUCUAAUUGAUUUCGUA